GACGAACGCUGGCGGCGUGCUUAACACAUGCAAGUCGAACGAUGAAGCCGGAGCUUGCUCUGGUGAAUUAGUGGCGAACGGGUGAGUAACACGUGAGUAACCUGCCCUUGACUCUGGGAUAACUGCGGGAAACUGUAGCUAAUACCGGAUACGACCCUCGGAGGCAUCUCCUGGGGGUGGAAAGAAUUUCGGUCAAGGAUGGACUCGCGGCCUAUCAGCUAGUUGGUGAGGUAAAGGCUCACCAAGGCGACGACGGGUAGCCGGCCUAAGAGGGUGACCGGCCACACUGGGACUGAGACACGGCCCAGAAUCCUACGGGAGGCAGCAGUGGGGAAUAUUGCACAAUGGGCGCAAGCCUGAUGCAGCAACGCCGCGUGAGGGAUGACGGCCUUCGGGUUGUAAACCUCUUUUAGCAGGGAAGAAGCGAAAGUGACGGUACCUGCAGAAAAAGCACCGGCUAACUACGUGCCAGCCGCCGCGGUAA
rnacentral:rRNA from 1 species